GAAUUCUUACUGGCAAACCUCCUGCCACCGUCUCUUGGAGUAUUGGAUGACAGGUACCGUGAGUUUGGAGAGGAGGCUCUGAGAGCAGCCUCUGCUCUCAACAAAGAGGUGAUGAAGCAUACAGUGACAGCAGAACAUACACUGAGGGGCUGGAGUAGAGGAAGCAGAGUGAAGACGUGGACUGGUUUCAGAUCAAAUCAUCCACAAUCCAUUCGGCCCACACCAUUGCAGAGGUGGAGCCUGCACCAUGAAUUCUGAGAAGAGUGGUGAUGACUGAGACGGGGUGAGGCCAGGGAACGAUAGGUGCAGAGGCUUUAAAAACAAGAAUAAAACCAACCUAACACCGAAUCUAUGAAUUAUCAU